rnacentral:lncRNA from 1 species
AGGCAAUUUGGAUAGACUGCCUCUUCUCGCUUAUGUUAUCCAUUUUUUUUUAACCAAAAAAGACUUCUUGUUUGUAUCACAACCAAUCGAACGAACCCAUAUAUAGAUAGAUAUUUUUUGUUGAAUGAAGUAAAGGAAAAAAACGAAAUCUAAGAAAGAAAAAUAGAAGGAAGAUAAAUAAAUCCAUUUCUACACGAUCGAAUUAUAUUUGUUCAAUACACUGUUGUCAAUAUGAAUAAUUAGAAAAGAAUACAAUAAAAAAAAGUAUAAAUAGAGCAAAAGAAGAGGAGGGGAGUGGGGAAAGUAUAGUAGAAAAAAACUUAUACUUAUACAAAGCUAUAUACGAAUCACCCACACCCUCUUCUUUUGUAUUUCAUUAAUUGACUUUCCUUUAAAUUAAGACGAAAUUCUCUAAAAAGAAACCCCCGCUUUCUUUAAAAUAUCAUAAACAGUUCCUGUAGGUUGAGCACCUUUUUCAAGAAAAAAUAGAAUAGCAGGAAUAUUUAAAUACGUUUGAUUAUUUAUCGGAUCAUAAAAACCCACUUUCCGAAGAUCUCUUCCUUCUCUUCGGGAUCGGACAUCAAUUGCAACGAUUCGAUAAACGGCUCAUUGGGAUAGACGUAGAUAAACUAGAACCCCCCCUAGAAACGUAUACGAAGCUUUCUCUUCGUACGGCUCGAGAAAUUAGAAGAUAUGUCUAUGUAUACAAUUCGAAUGUCAAAUAGAUCUAUAAAAGCAUUAAAUCAAAUCAAUUAGACUAAGAUUAUUUAAUACUUUUUUAUUCUUCUUUUUCUUUAUCAAAAAAAAAAUCAUUUGUAUUCUCAAAACUCAAGUUGAGUAACUCGGAAAUAUGAAAUAGCUCAAAAGAAAACCCUUAUGUAUUUUAUUUUUUGAGUGGUCUCUAACCCCUUUUUCUUUGUCUCAUUUAGAAUAUAUUUGGACUCCUUGUUCUUGAUCUAGUUGUCGAGACAAUUAAAAAAAAGAUAUUUCCUUGUUCCAAAAUAUUUUAUCUUUGCCUUGAAUCAUUGGGUUUAGACAUUACUUCGGUGAUUUUUAAUCGUUUCAAAAUGGCAGCAACACGGCCCUUUUUCUGAUUUAUUUCUAUCAAAGAAUCAUAAACGGUUGAUUCCCGCAAGAUACACUUUUGAUCAAAAGAGUUUCACUAAUUCCAACAAAUUAUCCUUUUUUGGAUUUGAAACUUGCUCGAAUUGGAUCCUUUCGAUUUAGAAAUCGAAAAUAGACUACACUUACGAAGUUGUUCCAACUUAUUAAUUGGCACUAACCCUAGAUCCUUGCCCUGAGAAAUGAAUCAAUACUUUCUACUCGAGCUACAUCACAUACUGUUUACACUACAACCCAAGAAAAAAUGAGGUUUCGAGUGGAACAGAACAAAGGAUGUCGAGCCAAGAGCACCUUCAUUCCUAUAUAAUAAAAAGGGUGGGUGUAAGAAUCCACAACUGAUCAUGUCCUUCAAGUCGCACGUUGCUUUCUACCACAUCGUUUCAAACGAAGUUUUACCAUAACAUUCCUCUAGUUUGGAACUGAUAUGUAAUUGAUUCAAUUAGGGAAUCAUGAAUAGUCAUUUGUUCGGUCGUUCCAUUGGUUUCUAAAGAAGUCUUAGAAAGAAUUCAAUUUAAUCCUCGAUUUUCUUUUUAUUGGAUGAAUGCAAUAUUUUUAUUUUAUUUAUUAAUUUCGAAAUAUUAGGAAGAAAAAAGUUCUUUGUAUUGAAUCUACAUUGCAUCUUCAAGUAACUUGAGAGGAUAUAUUCAACAAUCUUAGACUUCUUCGAAUAUCAAAUACUCAUAAGAAAUCAUUCAAUUCAAAUAGUUAUUGAAUUGAAAAAAAACCUACCUGGAUAUCACUAUUUGAAUAAAGUUUUCCUAAAGAUUGCAUUUAUCAUCAUAAAUAAUUCAUCUUUGAAUUAAACCUCAGUGAUUAAAAAAAUAUAGAUAGAUAGAAAAAGAAAUUUAUUUCUUUUUUUCGUGGAGUGAAUAAAAAAAAGUUGAUGUAAAGGAAGAUUUAGGCUCUUUUUCUUUCAUUUCAUACUGAAAAAGAAAAUCAUAAAAAAAAGAAUUCCCUCUAUCAGAUAAACUGAACAAUUGUCAUUGGAAUGAAUUAUGAAUAUUCAAUAUAGAAUAUUUCAAAUUAACGGAUCCAAAAUCUUUUUCAAAAAACCAAAAAACGUUAUCACUGAAAUAGAACGACAAUAAUACAUUAAGCAUUUCCUCAUUUUACGCGUAGUUUCUUUGACUGGUGGGGGUUCGUUCAAUAAUUUUUAUUUAAAGCAAGGGGAAUAGAAUAUAGGAUGUAUGAAUUACCCCCCUGUAUAUAUUAUUACAUAUAUUUACAAUUAUAUAUGCGAACCAAAUCAAAUACGAAAUGAAAUACCUAAAAAUGAGGUUCAAAGAAAAUAGAUACGUUAUAUGUAUGUAACUUGAUUAUUUCUUAAUCCAAUUUUCCAAUUUGUACAAGCACAGCUAGUUAAAUUGCUAUCUUACAUUGUUAAUUAAUUCUUAUUAUAUGGGACGUAAGGCUUUUCGAAGUAACUAACUUAAACUUCAAUAUGAAUAUUCAAUAUUCAAAGGGGAUGGACAUACGAUGAAAAGCGCAUUCAACCUCUUUUGCAACCCCCUUUUUUCUUUAUUUCCAAUUCUUCGAAUCUAGAUUCCUAGAUCACAACUCGAUUCAGUUUCAUCUAUAUGUAUCUUAGUUGAAUUUAAUUUGUGAAAAAAUAGGAUUUAAAGAAGAAUAGAAUCAUUAAAAAUCAGAAACAAGAAUCACAUAAUAUCCAAUAUUUAACUCUUAAAGAGUAGAGAAGGUAGUUCAAAAAGAAAACCUUUCUUUAUUGUGAUAAUAGAUAUUUCUAUCUAUGUUUCUAUCUAUAUAUAGAAUAGGUAUUCCCUGG